rnacentral:rRNA from 1 species
UUCAGUACUGUAGCUUGCUGCAGUGUGCACUUUACUCUUAGUAAGACGUUGUGAUCCAUUAGGAAUGGAUGCCUUUAGUGGCAUCAGUAGGCUAUCAAUAGGCCAGUGUAAAGUUCACGGUGGCAAACAACCAGGUCGUCAUGGCCGGGUAUAUUGCCUUGUGAGUGCUCUGUGUUCUGCUAUAGCUGCCUGAUGGGUUUUAAAGGCCAUAUCGUAAUGCCUUGUGCAUUACCCACUGCGGUGGGAUAGCUAUGUGCCCGAUCAACAGCGGUUUAAAUUUGGGAUACCUUUGGGACCCGUCUUGAAACACGGACCAAGGAGUCUAUCUAGUGUGCGAGUAAAUGGGCAUAUGAAACCUAUUUGCGUAAAUAACUUGACUGUUAUGGGAUUACGAGUGCUCCUUGUGGGCAUUCCUCCAUCCCGGGGUAUUUUCAUAUAAUAUUCCGCCUUUAGGUGGUGUAUAGAAAAUAUACCAUGAGCAUACUGGAUAUGACCCGAAAGAUGGUGAACUAUGCCUGAUCAGGUUGAAGUCAGGGGAAACCCUGAUGGAGGACCGAAGCAAUUCUGACGUGCAAAUCG